GAUAAACGCUGGCGGCGUGCAUGAGACAUGCAAGUCGAACGGACACUUGGGGCUUGCUCCAAGUGUUAGUGGCGGACGGCUGAGUAACGCGUAGGUGACCUGCCCCGAAGUGGGGAAUAACUGCCCGAAAGGGUGGCUAAUACCGCAUGUGGUGGUGUGUUCAUUCACACCAGUAAAGCCGCAAGGCGCUUCGGGAGGGGCCUGCGUCCGAUUAGCUCGUUGGUGGGGUAACGGCUCACCAAGGCGACGAUCGGUAGGUGGUCUGAGAGGACGAUCACCCAGACUGGGACUGAGACACGGGCCCAGACUCCUACGGGAGGCAGCAGUCGGGAAUUUUUGCGCAAUGGACGAAAGUCUGACGCAGCAACGCCGCGUGAGGGAUGAAGGCCUUCGGGUUGUAAACC
rnacentral:rRNA from 1 species